rnacentral:rRNA from 1 species
AUUGAACGCUGGCGGCAGGCCUAACACAUGCAAGUCGAGCGAGCGGCGGACGGGUGCGUAAUGUAUGGGGAUCUGCCCGAUGGAGGGGGAUAACUACUGGAAACGGUGGCUAAUACCGCAUACUAUCAGAUGAACCCAUUUGGGAUUAGCUAGUAGGUGGGGUAAAGGCUCACCUGGGCGACGAUCUCUAGCUGGUCUGAGAGGAUGAUCAGCCCAAUGGGGACGGAGACACGGCCAGGACUCCUACGGGAGGCGGCAGUGGGGAAUAUUGGACAAUGGGCGCAGUCCUGAUGCAGCCAUGCGGCGUGUAUGAAGAAGGCCUUCGGGUUGUAAAGUACUUUCAGCGAGGAGGCGUUACUCGCAGAAGAAGCACCGGCUAACUCCGUGCCAGCAGCCGCGGUAAUUC